rnacentral:rRNA from 1 species
UACGAAGGGGGCGAGCGUUGUUCGGAUUUACUGGGCGUAAAGGGCGCGCAGGCGGCGCAUUUUGUCAGGCGUGAAAGCCCCGGGCUUAACCUGGGAACUGCGUUUGAUACGGAUGGGCUAGAGUUCGGGAGAGGAGAGUGGAAUUCCCAGUGUAGAGGUGAAAUUCGUAGAUAUUCGGAAGAACACCAGUGGCGAAGGCGGCUCACUGGUCCGGUACUGACGCUGAGGUGCGAAAGCGUGGGGAGCAAACAGG